GGGAGUUGGUGCUGAGAGAUCUGGUGUAAACCAUGUCUCUGGCACAAUUGCCAUGGGUUGAUAUUCUGGCGCGUUGGGAUGCCACUCUCUCUCUCUCUCUCUUUCUCUUUCUUGAAUGUAUUCUGAAUGUGAGUGCGCCGAAGCUAAGACCAUCGACUAUUCGGGUUUUUGGUUAGCUCAUGCGUUCGUGACACGCAACAAGUGGCGAAAGCCCACUUUUUGAUGUUGACGCCACGCCGAAGUUAAACGGGCGAGCGGGAUACUUCCUGGGGACUUGGAAGCGGCCAGCUACAUUUCGCGCCUGAUGAUUGCCAGUUAGUUAGUCGUGAUCUGACGGUCCUCCUCGAAACAGAGUCAGCAAAUCAGUUCGGGGCUCCCUGAGUGUGAAAUGUGAAUGGGUUGUUGUCUCACUAAAUUCUAAUUAUACACCGAUCAAAAUCACAAUUGAAUAAAGUUCUCACACAAUUCAACCCACGAUCUAAAGUUCAGUAUUAAAUUAGGAGCACUAUCUUAGCAGCAACCUAGUCAAGGAGACACAGAAAAAUCAAGAAUGGCUUACUCAUGGGAUAACCGAGUGGAUUUUGUCGUCCGAUACAUGUAUGAUAUCGACAACAAUGGAUUCUUGGACGACAAGGACUUUGAGUGCAUGGCAGUGAGAGCUGCCGUGAUUGAGGGGAAAGGAAACGUCAACGACAACCGCCUCGGGGAAUACCGGCACAUCAUGAAGAGUCUGUGGGAUGAAAUCUCAGAAUUAGCUGACGAUGACAAGGAUGGAAAAAUCAGCACGGAAGAGUUCAAAGGUGCUGUCCAGAAGACAUGCGUAGGCAAGCCUUACGAUGGAUUUCCACAGGCCAUGAAAGCCUUCAUUGAAGCCAACUUCAAAAUGAUUGACUUAAAUUCAGAUGGUAUUAUCAAUUUGGAGGAAUAUCGUUACAACUGCAUUACAAGGAUCGCCGUGGACGAUAUCAAGGUCGUUGAUGAAGGGUUCAACCGACUCCUGAAUGAUGAUGAUAGGAAACGAGGUGGACUCACGUUGUCCAGAUAUCAGGAACUCUACAGCCACUACCUCGGCAAUUUGGACGAGAAGAACCCCGGAGUCACCCUGUUUGGCCCACUCAAUAACUAAGAAGGAACACCUCCGGCACCACGUCUUUCCCUCAUCAGCUUUGCGUUUCACCUUCAUGAAUGACGACAAAGAAAAUCACCCAAAAAAAAAAUAUGGUAUUCCUUGUCAUGUUGAGCUAAAAAUAAAAGAUUUAAAAAAAAGCGUAAAAAAGAACACCAUCCAUCGAAUCGGGGCGACGUCGUUAGAAUUAAUUAAGUUUAAAUACUAAAGUGAAGAAAAAAGAGAUAAUGAUUAAAAAAUUACAAUAAAUAUAACAUUAAAUGUUAAUUGUAUAAUGGUAAAUGUGAUUCCCAGAACCGAAACAAGAUUUAAAAAAAAAACUACUUGACAUGUUGACGUUAAUUGUAAAGAGAUGAAGAAAAAAAAAUAGAUAAAAAAUAUAUAUUAUGUUCUAUGUUUGAUGUUCUGUUAUUGUCGAGUUAUUUUAUUGCAUUAUUAUUACUUUUUAGAUGAAACAGAAAAAAAUAUAAAUGUAAUUGAAGAAAAUACGCAAAACAAUUAACUCUGAAAGAUCAUUUUUUUGCAAUAUUACCACACACCACACUUUAACAUCACAGAGAAGAAAUAAAAAUUUAUGUGAAGAACAAAUUAUAGAUGGAAUAAAUUUAAAGAAAUUAAUAAAUGUGCUACUAAAUGGUUAAUGGAACAACUGAUAGAAGCUACAACAACAGCAAAGAUGAGAAUUUAAGGACUAAGAUAAUGAAAAACGUAUCAAUUAUUGUAAAUGUUAAGAUGGAGUUUAAUGCUUUUUGUCGUUUUUCCCCUCUUCAACGGACAUUUUAGGCUUCUUCUUCGUCUUUCCAGCAGACGACAUCCCCAUAUAUUUCCCCAUAUUACGUUUCUGGGUUUUAUCUUGUUUUAUUUUCCAAUGAAGUAGUAGAAAAUGAAGAAAAGAAACAGAAAAUAGAGAAAUUCUUCUUUUAUUUUUUUUUAGCCAUUUAAGUGAACAACGAAAAUUCCUCCGCUGAGUGUCCCCGAAGAAAGAGACCCUUCCUGCACAACUCCAAAAGAUUCCAUUGUCGAAUAUGUCAAUUCCUUUAAUUUAAAGUUACAAUCCAAAUUAUGAUGGGAAAGUAAGUGUAAUUUAGAGACAGAUAAUAUCUGAAAAAAAAUGUAAAAGGAUUACUGUUAAGGACAAGAAAAAAUUAAGAAAGAUAAAUCUUACCAAAAUUCAUAUGAAUAUGAGGCAUUGUUCGCAAAAAUAAGAUGUUUCGUACCAAACUCCAAAAUAAAAAAAAAUUAGAGAAAAAAAAACUUAUGAUGAUGUGUCUCUUUAAUAUGAAACAAGAAAAAAGAAAUAAAUUAAUUGUAUAAAAUGGGUUGAGAAA